rnacentral:rRNA from 1 species
UACAGAGGUCUCAAGCGUUGUUCGGAUUCAUUGGGCGUAAAGGGUGCGUAGGCGGCCAACUAAGUCAGACGUGAAAUCCCUCAGCUUAACUGGGGAACUGCGUCUGAUACUGGAUGGCUUGGAUUCGGGAGAGGAAUGCGGAAUUCCAGGUGUAGCGGUGAAAUUCGUAGAUAUUCGGAAGAACACCAGUGGCGAAGGCGACUUACUGGACACAUAUUGACGCUGAGGGACGAAAGCUAGGGGAGCGAACGGG